GGAGAGGUGGCUGAGUGGUCUAAAGCAGCAGACUUGAAAUCUGCCGUACCCAAAAGGUACCGUGAGUUCGAAUCUCACCCUCUCCGCCA
rnacentral:tRNA from 1 species